GUCUGGGGAGGGGCGCAGGGCAGCGCACGUUUCCACUGCGCUCUCCUUUGUCUCCGUUUGGGAAGAGGUGGCGUCGAGACUAGCAGUGCUUGGCGGUCUCACGGACAAAUGUACUGAGCGCUGGAACCUGUAUGUACAAGACAGAAGACUUAGCUCCUGUAGAGCUUACAGUCUAGCAGGUAAGACAGACUUGAAGUGAGGGGUGCCAGUGGUCUGAUCCGUGUAAAAUAGGGAUCUGG
rnacentral:lncRNA from 1 species